UUUAUUAUUAUUGUUUUUCCUUAGAUUUAUUGAGCUUGGACCUCAGCAACAUGAAGAAAUUAAAGGAAAUAUAAUUGAUACUCAGAGCAAGUCUGGCAAGCUACCAACUGCUAAUGCUCACAAAUCUGGUCURUCAUGGAUGAAGAAAGGAAGCUAUGAAAUUUUCUCCAAAGAACAGAGUUAAUGAUUCCUGUUUUUAGGAGAAAUGAUUUAUAUUAAAUCUCUUAGCUAUAAACUUGGUUAUUCUCUGUAUCUAAAACAAUGAGAUUAAUUUACAACUUACAACGAGAAGUACUAUAGACCAUACUUGUGAAAGUUUAUAGCCCAUGCAUGCAUUUUGUAAUGUUUCAUUAUUAACUGCAAUACAGACUCGGUACUUCAAUGAAGCAAUGGAGACAAGAAUGUCUUAUUUCUACAACAUGYAACACAGACACAGCAAAGGUUUUGUCUCAAAACAUCAGAAUAUUAACUUAUUGUAUAGCAUUAUAGAAAUACUGAAUUUUAUAGUUCCCAGUGCCAUCUUGAAAAGCAAACAAACCUUUGCAUCAAACCAAGAAAGUAGAGCACUUAAUGAUAGAUACCUCUGAAUAACAAUGCCUUACAUGUCAAAAAAGGUAUCUAUCACAGCAGACUCCUGUCUUGCUCAGCUACUUUUCAAGAAGGCACWAGGAACUGUAAUUUCAUUGCAUUAAGAAAUGGCCAUUUUUUACUCCAACAUAAACACAGAUUUGGGGCAUACUGCAGUUUUGAGUUGGUAGUCACAUAGUCAAUGUAAAACCAGGUAAAUUACUUGUAUAUCAGUUUGGGAACAUUCAAUUGGUGUUUUGAAUAUAUGUUUGCGUGGUGGAAGUCAAACUGCAUGUCAGGGUAUCAGUUUUGUCCAGAUUUAAUAUAAGGCCCUAUUAGAUAAGAAUACAUACUGAAUGUUACUAUAACAUUCAUGUAAGGAUAUUGUAUAUUCAUCUUAUUUUAGAAUAUAAAAGAGAGGUAUUUUUUUAGUGUUUUGUUCUAGUGUUUGUUUUGCUUCAUUUAUUUCAUUYGUUUCCUGCAUCCAUAUAUAAUCAGCCUUUCUAGUCCAUUCUCCCCCUACUAUCUUUACAAGAAAAUGCAUCCUAGUUUUGUGAACUGUUUCAAUUUUACAUGUAUAUUAUGUAAAUGAGGACUGUAUGUUGUCUGUGUUUUGGAGUCAGACAUGUUAUAAAGUGUACAGAUUUUGUAGUGCUUGUAUGAAGUURAAUAUUAAAAAGUGAUGCAGAUGCAAAA